GGGAGAGGAGAAAGCGGAAGUGGAGGAGGAAGAAGAGGAGGAAGAAGAGGAGGAGGAGGGAGUUGGAAGGGGAGGAGGAAGAGGGGCAGAAGGAAGAAGAGGGGGAGGAGAAAGAGAAAGAAGUGUAAGAAGAGGGGGAAGAAAGACAAGGGGAAGGGGAGGAGGAGGAGGAGGACGAGGAGGAGCUUCGCCGCGGCCUGCUCCGCCCAGCCGGGGUCGGUGGCCACAUGGCUUCGGUCUCCUCUGCGACCUUCUCGGGCCACGGGGCUCGGUCCCUACUGCAGUUCCUGCGGCUGGUAGGGCAGCUCAAGAGAGUCCCACGGACUGGCUGGGUAUACAGAAAUGUCCAGAGGCCGGAGAGUGUGUCAGAUCACAUGUACCGGAUGGCAGUUAUGGCUAUGGUGAUCAAAGAUGACCGUCUUAACAAAGACCGAUGUGUACGCCUAGCCCUGGUUCAUGAUAUGGCAGAAUGCAUCGUUGGGGACAUAGCGCCAGCAGAUAACAUCCCCAAAGAAGAAAAACAUAGGCGAGAAGAGGAAGCUAUGAAGCAGAUAACCCAGCUCCUACCAGAGGACCUCAGAAAGGAGCUCUAUGAACUUUGGGAACACAUCUCCUUCCUGCCACCGUGUGAAGAAGGACAUGUUUACUUCCCCUUCUGCCAUGAUUAUUUAGGAAGAAGAUCCACAAAACCAACUGUUUCCAUUCAUUGCCUGGGGAUGAUGGGUUGGCUGCUGUUCAUCAGAAGGAAAGUCAGACCAUUAAAUCUGAAUUUACUACAGGAGCAGAAUCAGGAGUUUCCAAUGUGAAGCUUCUAACUCAAGAGAACAACUGAAGCUUUCAGGUCCGGAUCCCCACAGCAGCUCCACAAGAUCUAAUUAGGCCUCGAUGAAGCAUCGCUUUCGUCUCUAUCCCCAGAGCUUUAUUUUUCUGCCAAAAAGUACACAACUUAUAAAUUCAGUUGCUUCUAUGAUUGACUUUUUCAUUUAAAAAAUCAUUUCAAAGUAAUCGUUGAGCUAAGUUGCUGACCUAAACCAGAACCGAUCUUCAAAAGGAUCUUGCACCUGUAACAUGGUCUGGAAUGAAUUCUAUCAGGUUUACAGCAUGCUAGAGAAGUCAGCACUGGCUACUGCAUCUUCAUCUCUUCCUUGCAAUGGUUCAGUCUCCAGCAAACCUUUAGGCAAAAUUGAUAAAACAGAACGCAAUUCUUAAAGUGAAUUUAAACCAACUUCUGCUUCUAUAGUGUGGAGGACUAGAUGCACUGACAGACCCUCCCACUGAAAAACAACUAAAAAUUCCAGAAAAGACAAAAAUCCUCCUAAAUGUGUGAUGAACUCCAAGAAAGCAAAGAAUACCAAGAAGCCAAAAAAAAAAAAAAAAAAAAAAAUUAAGAGAAAAUGAGAAGGCAGAGAUGUAAACAGGACAAGCUUUCAGGGAGGUCUACAUUUACCACCUUGGUGAAUUCCAGCUUAGCUCUUCACUGUCUCAUGUGGUGUAAGGGCAGAGGACAAAGCCCAAGGCCCGCCCAUGGAGAGGGGUUUAAUGUGAGAUUCCUGUGUAAAUUGCAGGCCCCAAGGGCUGCACCCUGAGAGUCAGGUGAACUAGAAAUAAAUACCUUCAUUCUUCACACAGGGAUCUGAAAGGCAAGUUGCCCAUCUUGAAACUCAGGACUGAAUGGACAGAGAAAAAAAUCCUCCCCUGAGAACUCGUGACCCUGAGUGGGACUGCAUGGGAAAGCAGCUUGCAACUUGAAUGCACACUACCUGGGUGGUCCAAAACAACCUCGAGGUUAGAAUUUAAAAUAUGAAGGCCUUUUUUCCACUGCAGAUGUGGCUCGAAGCAGCUGGAGCUGUGAGGAACCAUCACUGACAAACUGACUCUGGCAGAGAAAAAUAUGGGAAGAGCUGGGGUUCUUGAUGCCAUCAUUGUGCCUUGGGUUAAUCCAGAAGAGCUUCUAACUUGUUAUGUGAGAUAAAUGACUUAUUAUGUAAAAUAUAAAGAAGUUCCCUGGUAGGGCCCCUCAACAUCUGGCUGACUCAAAUGCCUGUGUUCUCCAGGGAACCCAGGAAACAGGCCCACACUCAGAGAGAAACUUCAUCUAUGACAUGAUUCAAGUCAGAGCUGGAAUUUAUACCUCUGUGGGGAAAGAAAAUGAGACAUUCAAAUACAGGGGGGUCCCUGGAGAAACUCCCACUGGCCUGAGCACUGGAAGAACAGGUUGAGCCAUGGAAGUUUGUGCCGUUUUUAGGGGGUAGGAGUCUGGCCUUUCUUUUUCCAGGGUGGUAACUGGGAAUUCUAUCUGUGAGAUGAGGAUUUGUUAACAGGAAGCUCUCUUGCUUUGCUGAGUUUUUUUCCUUUUCACCCAAUAAAUUCCAUUUUUCUCACCCUUCAAA